GAUGAACGCUGACAGAAUGCUUAACACAUGCAAGUCAACUUGAAUUUGGGUUUUUAACUUAGGUUUGGGUGGCGGACGGGUGAGUAACGCGUAAAGAACUUGCCUCACAGUUAGGGACAACAUUUGGAAACGAAUGCUAAUACCUGAUAUUAUGAUAAUAGGGCAUCCCAUAAUUAUGAAAGCUAUAAGCGCUGUGAGAGAGCUUUGCGUCCCAUUAGCUAGUUGGAGAGGUAACGGCUCACCAAGGCGAUGAUGGGUAGCCGGCCUGAGAGGGUGAUCGGCCACAAGGGGACUGAGACACGGCCCUUACUCCUACGGGAGGCAGCAGUGGGGAAUAUUGGACAAUGGACCAAGAGUCUGAUCCAGCAAUUCUGUGUGCACGAUGAAGUUUUUCGGAAUGUAAAGUGCUUUCAGUUGGGAAGAAAAAAAUGACGGUACCAACAGAAGAAGUGACGGCUAAAUACGUGCCAGCAGCCGCGGUAAUACGUAUGUCACGAGCGUUAUCCGGAUUUAUUGGGCGUAAAGCGCGUCUAGGUGGUUAUAUAAGUCUGAUGUGAAAAUGCAGGGCUCAACUCUGUAUUGCGUUGGAAACUGUGUAACUAGAGUACUGGAGAGGUAAGCGGAACUACAAGUGUAGAGGUGAAAUUCGUAGAUAUUUGUAGGAAUGCCGAUGGGGAAGCCAGCUUACUGGACAGAUACUGACGCUGAAGCGCGAAAGCGUGGGUAGCAAACAGG
rnacentral:rRNA from 1 species